rnacentral:tRNA from 1 species
UCCCUGGUGGCUCAGCAGGUUAAGGAUCCAGCAUUGUCACUGCUGUGGUGCAGGUUUGAGCCCUGACCUGGGAA